CAUGAAAGAAAAGAAGAACGAAAUGAUUCUUAUUAUAUGCUAUGAUUUUAAACUAUGAGAACCUCAUGCAUUUUUGUAUGUCAUGUGCACCGGGAUACUUCUCUACUAUGAUAUGUUAUGUUAUGUUUAUA